UGUAGUUCAGGAGCUGCAGGGAGCACAGGCUCUCCUCAGUUUUGUGUAGGCUCUUUUCCACAGGAUGGGCAGGUUUUCAACCCACUGGGGAAAGUGGAGUAUAAACUACAACUCAAACUACUUCCCUGUUGAGAAAUAGGUGGAUUACAACUAUUGCAGUGUGCUCACUUUUCAGGAAAGCUAUUAGUUAAAUCUUAUUAAUGCCAUAAAUUGUCUGAAGGAGAUAAUAUGCCUCUGAAAAAUGCUCUUGAGUCGGUCCUGAUGAUUGUAGAAAGAAGCAGACUAGCCAAAGUUUUUAUAUUUGUGGCAGAAGAAUUUGAAGAGACGGAAACAGCAUCUGUCUUUGAUGGAACCUGCUCCCCUACCACCAGCCAUGGAUUUAAUGUCUUCACUGAUUUCUGGAAAACUUUUUGAAGUUUUUUGAGGAGUUAAGCCUACCAUUCAUAUAUUUUUUUAAUUAGAGGUGGUCGCAGCAAAUCCUUUAAUCUUUGCUAUGCGUGUACUCAAACACAUCUGGGCUAAAAUAUUACAGCUUAGAAGAAAGUAACAUAUGCUCUAGUCUCAAACAGUGUCUUUCAAACCAAAAAAUAGCAGAGCCUGAGUUCUAAUAAGUAAAACAGAGCUACACCUCCCAUGGACUGUUUGAUUUUAACCUUGACUUCAACAGAGAAAACAUCCUAGAACCUAGGACAUUAUAUAUUCCUUGCUGUAAUAUAAAUAAAACACAAAUGCACUCUAA